rnacentral:lncRNA from 1 species
GGUUCAACAUAGAACAAAAAAUACAUCAUUGAUGGAUUCAGAUAUUGUUGAUUUAGAAGAGGCUCAACUUGGAGCAAAAGAGAAAUCCUUGAUAGAUUCAAAUAUUGUUGAUGCAGAAAAUAUUCAAAACAAACCAGAAGAUGGAUCAUUGAUGGAUUCAGACAAUGGUGAUUCUGAAAAAGUUCAAUUUAGAACAGAAGAUAAAUUGUUGAUAGGUUCAGACAUUGUUGAUUCGGAAGAGGUUCAACUUGGAGCAAAAGAUACAUCAUUGAUGGAUUCAAAUACAAAAUGUAUUGUUGAUUUAGAAGAGGCUCAGCUGAGAACAGAAGAUGGAUCGAUGAUAGAUUCAGGUAUUGUUGAUUCGGAAGAGGUUCAACUUAGAACAAAAGAUACAUCGUUGAUGGAUUCAGAUAUUGUUGAUACAGAAAUAAUUCAGCCUACAAAGGAAGACAUUAUCAAGUGUAAUGACAACACUAUUGCUACAUCUGAUGAUAAAUUAACAGGAACUGAAGACAGUACUCUAGCUUCAACAGAAAGUCCUAUCCAA